rnacentral:tRNA from 1 species
CGGGGCGUAGCGCAGUCUGGUAGCGCGUUCGGUUCGGGUCCGAAAGGUCCCCAGUUCAAAUCUGGGCGCCCCGA